rnacentral:rRNA from 1 species
GACGAACGCUGGCGGCGUGCUUAACACAUUCAAGUCGACCGGCAAGGCCCUGCUUUUGUGGGGUGCUCGAGUGGCGAACGGGUGAGUAACACGUGAGUAACCUGCCCUUGACUUUGGUAUAACUUCAGGAAACUGGGGCUAAUACCGGAUAGGAUCUCCUGCUUCCUUGUUUGGGUUGGAAAGUUUCGGCGGUUGGGGAUGGACUCGCGGCUUAUCAGCUUGUUGGUGGGGUAGUGGCUUACCAAGGCUUUGACGGGUAGCCGGCCUGAGAGGGUGACCGGCCACAUUGGGACUGAGAUACGGCCCAGACUCCUACGGGAGGCAGCAGUGGGGAAUAUUGCACAAUGGGCGGAAGCCUGAUGCAGCAACGCCGCGUGCGGGAUGACGGCCUUCGGGUUGUAAACCGCUUUCGCCUGUGACGAAGCGUGAGUGACGGUAAUGGGUAAAGAAGCACAGGCUAACUACGUG